rnacentral:misc_RNA from 1 species
CUGAAUUGUGGUGAUGGUACUUGUGGGAUAGAUUCGAGAAGCAACAUUCAUGGGCUUAGCAACGAAGAACAUGAAGAUAUCAAUUACUGCGCCGAUGAGGUCUUCUCUUCAUUUCUCAAUUCACUUAUCAAUGAAGAAGCUUUCACUAGCCAACAACAUCAGCAAAUGCAGGAACAAGCCAAUCUGAUUGUGCCCACAUCGGAUCCUUUGGUUUCACUCAGUGCUUCGACGUUUGGCUAUGGCACUAGCUGGGAAUCUGCUCUCAUGUCCUCCACUUUUAACCAAAAUGAUCCCAGCAAAAGGAUUGAUGGCCAU